GUCGGUGAACCAGCUCACAAGCAAUUCGAAAGUCCAAAGAGCUUCAUCUGCACCUGAAGAACUGAGAUCUUAUCAUCAAUGAUUCAGCUCUGAAGCACCAUACAAAUUCAAAGACUAACGUGUUCUUAGCACCACAGAUUGCUAUAGCUACAGCAAGGUUCAAUAUAAACAUGUGGGGUAAGAGGCUUCCAUGGCAAUGCCACAAAGGCCUCCCGGUGCAGCAACAUCUCUUUGCAUUCUUGUAUAGAUGAUUACAUUGGAAGGAUAGGAAGUUCCAACUUCAAUGGGGACACAAGAGGCAUCUGUAAGUGUUGAAAUUUAUCAUGAAGAUCCAAAGUGAAGCUGGUCUCUUAAGAAACAAGAUGUCUUUCAAGUGGAAUGUGCUGUGUUGAGGCAAUCCACCCUUAUGUACUUUAGGUUCAUUUUUUUUAUUGGUUUUGCUAUAAGCAGUCAUUUGUGAUUGCUUCACAACAUUUGUUUGUAUACUACUCAACUUUUAUACAAGUGAAG
rnacentral:lncRNA from 1 species